rnacentral:rRNA from 1 species
GACGAAGGUGGCGACCGUUGUUCGGAAUCACUGGGCAUAAAGAGCACGUAGGCGGCAAGGUAUGUCGGGUGUGAAAUCCCUCGGCCUAACCGAGGAAUUGCGCCCGAAACUACCUUGCUUGAGGAUGGAAGGGGCAACUGGAAUUCUCGGUGUAGCGGUGAAAUGCGUAGAUAUCGAGAGGAACACCUGCGGCGAAGGCGGGUUGCUGGGCUGAUACUGACGCUGAGGCGCGAAAGCCAGGGGAGCGAACGGG